GCCAGAGUCUCAGCCAGAUGCUCCUGUCAGGUAGGAACAUCUGAAAGUCAGAGACAGUGAAAACACACAAGGCUCAAGUGUUUUGCCCCGAGCAGUGUUUACAGGAACAGGAAAGCCUGGUGAUAAACUGGUCACUUACUAGCCAGUCCAGCUAACUACUGGAGGAGGUCAUUGAGAGGAUAUGGCCGCUGGCUGGUUGACCCUCAAGUUGGGCCCAGGCGAUCAGAGAGUCCUUACCCUCUCACAGUCCUUGGAAUGUAUGUUCGGCCUGCUGUCCUGGUGCUCGCAGCCUUUUGAAGGAAGGGGCCUUGAGUGAGUAAGGUGUUGUUGAGACCAUCUGGACCAAGUGUGUGACUGACCCCAGUUAAGGGGCCUCCAUAUAAACUUUCAAGAUUCCAGUGGGCGGGAAUGGAAAUCUACUCAUCUUGCAGCCGCCCAAGACAAGCCUCGUAAGAGCAUCUGCAGGGAUGGUUUGGAACAUUUCAGGCUGCUUAGAUAAUGACAGUCAGUGCUGGCGUCAAUCAUUAGAUGAUGUUGGAAGACUACUGCUCUGAGAUGUCAUAUACUAUGUAAGUUCUUCUGCAACAACCCGUCCCACAAUUAAGAAUAGAGACAUGAAGUUUCUGUUUGAUGGGAGAUUCAUCGAGACUCCAAAACUG